AUGGCAUCAAAGAUGACGGAAGGACAGAGUCAGCAGAGCCAGAAUUUGGGGCAGUGGAGGCAGAGCACCUAUUUCCUGCAUUUGGACACUGCCAGCAGGUUGAUUCAGAAGAUGGGUGAAAAAUUUGUUCCUGGGGUAGCAGGAGGAGCACCACGACUUUGGAAUCGUUUGCUUAAAAGAAGGAUGAGCUUGGCUGUUCAUACCAUACAUCCCGGAGGUCUUCAGCAAGGUGAGGUUCCUCUGACCAAGAAGCCGGCUGCCUAGAUGCGCUAAGCACAGCUCCCUCGCAUAUUCUGGGUGAGUACUUUGCCAAGCACUGUGUGUAUUUGCAUUUUAAAAUUUAGAUGCCUUUCUUUCGGUCAAAUCAGUUUGAUGUAACGUUGCCCUGUGUGCAUAUGUAUUGAUAUAUGUACAUGCAUGCACACACUCAUGGACUGGAACUCAAAGUGACAUGGCUUCAGGUAAGUCAGCAUUUGUUUUUUCCGGUUUAUGCAGACUGGCUGGUUCAAAUCCAGGGUCGAUCACUUAUAGCUGUGUGUCCUUGGGAAGGUUUCAUUACUUCUUUGUUCCUUAAUUUAUACAUUGUGGACAAUGAUUACACCUAAAUGAUAUAAUGUGCAUGAGGCUGAGUUAAUACAUGUAAGGAGCCUAAAAUUCUGUUUGUCACAUUACAAGAACUCUUUAACUAUUGCAUUGUUAUUAUCCUAAACUGUCACAGUAUUAACAUUAAAACAUGUAAUUUACCAGAUCAAAUAAUCUAUAAAAUACUUGUCAGUGUGAACAAAAGAAUAGUGAUUAUGCUUAAAAUUUAAAAUGUUUCUGAAGCCAAAUGAGUUAAUCCAUGCUGAGUAUAGAAUGCCUUUUAUCACAUAAUAACUAUUUUAUUGUUAUCAUCCUUAACCAUGAUUUUAUAUAUAUAUAUAUAUAUAUAUAUAUAUAUUUUUUUUUUUUUUUGCUUUUGAGCAGCAUACGGAGGUUUCCAGGCUAGGGUGUGGAAUCAGAGCUAUAGCUGCUGGCCUAUACCACAGCCACAGCAACGCCAGAUCCACAGCUCAUGGCAAUGCCAGAUCCUUAACCCACUGAGUGAGGCCAGGGAUCGAACCCGCAUCCUUAUGGAUCCUAGUCAGUUUUGUUAAACCACUGAGCCACGAGGGGAACUCCAACCAUGAUAAUAUUAAUAUUAGGAGUUAAUGUUGUGGCUCAGUGGGUUAAGGACUAGACGUUGUCUCUGUGAGGAUGAGAAUUUGAUCCCUGGCCAUACUCAGUGGGUUAAGGAUCUGGUGUUGCCACAGCUGUGGUAUAGGUUGCAGAUGUGGCUUGGAUCUGGUUUUGCCAUAGCUGUGGUGUAGGCCAUAGUUGCAGCGCUCAUUUGACCCCUGGCUCAGGAACUUCCAUGUGCUGCAGGUGUAACUAUGAAAAGAAAAAAGAAAAAAAUUAAUAUUAAGAACAUUUAGAUUAGUAGAUCCAACUUUUUAAGUAUUUUAGUAUUUUAAAAUAGUUUGCUAUUUAGCUUUUGAUUGUUUUUAGUGUUUUCAAUAUGUUGAAGAUGUGAAUUACUAAAAUGAGGAUGAAAUUAAAUGGUUAAAGUGGAAAUGCAGUAAUUUGGCUAGCUCUUCUCUCUAGAUGAAAAAUAUAUCCUGAAGAAAUUCAAUUCCUUGGAACCAAAUACAUUUUAAAAUUCUAAUUCAUUUUUCUUGCAAUUUAUAGAUCUAGCAUUAUUAAAAUAUUCAUAUCGUUGAGCUAAUGAGGCAUAACAAAUUUAAUUUGCAAAACAAAGAUGACAGGAAUAGAACAUGAUCCAUAAUCACUUUUUUCUAAGCCUCAUGUUGUAGGCACUUCAUCAGAAAGAGAGACAGAUCAGACAUAUUUUAUAACUCCGUAGAACUUUGCAGAUAAACUCUUGGAAGAUUGUGGAAUAAUAGAAUUUUGGAACAAAACGUUUUGUAUCGUUUUCACUGUUUCUCAUUUGAGUAGGGUGCAACCCCACUGUGCUUGUCAGGGUUGUUUGACACGUGUAGGGGUGCAUUGUGUUGUUUGUCACCAGGAAGUCUUCAUUCCACAGUGUCAACUGAUUCCGUGAAGGGGGAACAGAAGAGGGAUGGGUAGAGAGAGCCACGGAUCGCCUUGCUGGUCCAUGGCCAGCUCCAGUGCAGAGAUGGCUAUGGCGGAUCCAUGUGGUGGGCAGAAAUGGCCAGACGCUCCUACUGAUGACCAUACUCCACUGCUGGCUGGAGCUUCUUGACAAGGGGAGGGGGGCUCCAUUUCAACCUGGGAGCCCAUCCCAGGGGGCUGCCGGCUAGGUGUCCUCCUCGUAGCUGAUACGCAGGCUCUUCCUCAGAGGUGGCUGCGAGUAGCCCAUCUCCAACUCUGCAGCCCAUCUCCAACUUGGUUCCUAAAUCCAGCUGAGCAUCCAUCUGGAGGCUGUUUGCCAUGGAUACCACAGAUGGCCAGAGUUCAGCACUGGUACACGGCUGGACCGUCUGAGUUCGUAGCAUCUCUUACGGGGAGAUUAUUCACCUUUCCUUCUGGUUUUUCGGGGGAGUGUGCAGAAGGAGCCUGGCAAGGAGCUCAAGGGGUUUUGCUGUGAUAAAGCUUGUCUGUUUGAAGGGCCAUUUAACUCUGCCUAAAGCAGGGGUUCUUGUUUUCAGUUCUAGUAGUAGGGGUGGUGGUAAUUACAGCAGGAGGGGGGAGAGGAAGAGACGUAGCAGUAGUAUUAAUAGGAAUAAUAAUAAUAGCUAAUGCUUCAUGGACACGGUGAUAAGGUCUGCCGUGUAAAAUCUUAUGCACUACUUACAAGAACAGUACAGAGCAAGUAUUGCUAUUAUUUUCAUUUCAGAGAUAAUAUAUGCAGAGGUUAAAUAGACUGAAACAUGAAAGAAGUGGAAUUUCAGACCCAUGUGCUAGGAUUCCCCAAGCACCUGUUGCCGUUCGCUACCAUUUCAAAUCUAGAUGUGGGUUUGAUUAUUCCACGUGCUUAUUGCAUAAUGUGCCUCGUACCUAUGUAUUUAAUGAUUGUUAGGCCUCCAUUUGCUCACCUGUAGAAAGUCAAGAAUAACAAGAACCAACCUGACUUUGUCAUGGCGUUAAUGUGAGAAAAAAAAAAGGAUGAUGUUGAGAAAGGUGUAAACUCUUCAUCGGUAAUGUUGGUUAUUAUCGUACUGGUAUGAAAUAGUCUGCAUUCUGGAAAGGAGAGUGCCAUACCUUUAUGCAAGUCUGACCGUAGCAGGGCUGGGAGAUUCAUUCUCAGGAAUUACUAUGAUCCCAGAAACUUGAGAGCUGGAAAGGCUCUGGAGAUGAUCCCGUUCGGUGGUUCUCAACGCAGCUACCUGUUUAUUUCUUUUGGGGGGAGCUUUUCAACAUUGUGGAUGCCCAGGAGUCAGUCCAUUUCCAGAGAUCCUGUUUCACUGGUCUGGAGGAGGGCGUAGACAUCUCAGUGUAUGUACAUGAAAACACAUGUGCAUUUGUCCAUGUAAAGUGUACAUACACAUGCGCGUGUGUGUAUGUGCUUGUGUGUGUGUGUGUGCACACGCAUGCAUGUGUGUAUUCUCCAAGGUGAUUCUGAUGUGUAGUCAGGAGGCACACAUGACCAAAUAAACCAACCGGCUUCUUUCUGAUAACUGGGAUG
rnacentral:lncRNA from 1 species